CGCGGAUCACGCCCCCUCCGGACAUGGCAAGGCCUUCUCAUGCAGAGAAAGGAAAACUGCAACUUUCUGGCAUUUUCACAGCCGUCCUUCCUCUCCCCUUCACUCCCAGACCUUUUCACAUGCUGUCAAAAUGCACUCUUGCUCUUUGCAACGAACCGUCCCGAUGCCACAGAACAGCUACACCGUUCCAGCUGUUAAGCACAGUGUGCUCGGCGGAGCUGUGACCGUGAGGUCCCCGGAGCAGACUGCAGAGGUCUUCACGGGACCCGUCCCUGCAGCCUCCAGCCACCUCGCCACCCUGGGCUGGACUCCAGCAACCUGCUGGGCUGGCUGAAGGGGCGCAAGGAAGCGGAAUCUGGUUAAAUCGCAUGUGGUUAUUUGUUUGCUAGUAGCAAUUAAAGGUUAA